UACGUAGGGGGCAAGCGUUGUCCGGAUUUAUUGGGCGUAAAGAGCGUGUAGGCGGCUUGGUAGGUCCGCUGUGAAAACUCGAGGCUCAACCUCGAGAUGUCGGCGGAAACCACUUGGCUAGAGUCCGGAAGAGGAGAGUGGAAUUCCUGGUGUAGCGGUGAAAUGCGCAGAUAUCAGGAAGAACACCCGUGGCGAAAGCGGCUCUCUGGAACGGUACUGACGCUGAGACGCGAAAAGCGUGGGGGAGCGAACAGG
rnacentral:rRNA from 1 species